AUUUUUUUCAGGUAUAUAUUAUUGUUUAAUAUUGUUUAAUUUAUUGCUUGUCAGUCAUUCACAUUUAUUAAAAAUAGUCACUUUAUUAAAUAAUGUGAGAAACUCUAUGUUCUUUGCGAAUAGACCUGAAGAUGAAUUAUGAAAGGGUGUGACAAGUAUCAGUAAUGCAGGAAGACGCAGAGGUAGAGCAAGAAGAGUAGUGAAAAGAGAGACCUAAAUAAGGAGCAAAUUAUUGGCAUGGGAAAAAUUUCGAUACAAUUUCCUGGUCUGAACACUUCUGUGUUUAGAGGAAAAGAAUUAAUUCAACAGCUAAAACUGCUUGUAAAUCUUGAAAGAAAGCAAAAACUUAUGGAAUUACCACAAAGUCAGACCAGACCAAUGCAAAUAAAAUUAUCGCCAUUGGAAUGUGGUUGGAGGAGUGUUACAAUGGAUGGCAGAAGCAUUGAAUCAGAUCUUAUUGGAAAAGAUACAUUUGAAAGUUUUGAAACCUGGAUUUUGGAAAACAAAAUGAUAACUUGUAUGACCAGUAAUUUAGCACGUAAGACUAGAAUCAAUUCAUUAUUAUAGUAUUAUUAUAGUAACUGGGAAUGGAAAUGGAUUGGCUGGAUUUGCGUUAUCAAAAGCCAAAGCAUCCCUAAAGACGAUUAAAAAUAGGGCUGGUCAAAGAUUAAUGUAUAUUCCUACAUAUAAGGAACACACUGUUUUUGUUAGAUGAUUU
rnacentral:lncRNA from 1 species